GCGCCCUUAGCUCAGUUGGUUAGAGCGACGGCCUUAUAAGCCGUGUCUGUGCUGAGUUCGAGUCUCAGAGGGCGUA
rnacentral:tRNA from 1 species